UACAGAGGGUGCGAGCGUUAAUCGGAAUUACUGGGCGUAAAGGGUGCGUAGGUGGUUGUAUAAGUUAGGUGUGAAAGUCCUGGGCUUAACCUGGGGAUUGCGCCUAAUACUGUGUGACUAGAGUACUGUAGAGGGAGGUGGAAUUUCCGGUGUAGCGGUGAAAUGCGUAGAUAUCGGAAGGAACAUCAGUGGCGAAGGCGACUUUCUGGACAGAUACAGACACUGAGGCACGAAAGCGUGGGGAGCAAACAGG
rnacentral:rRNA from 1 species